rnacentral:rRNA from 1 species
UGCCAGCCGCCGCGGUAAUACGGAGGGUGCGAGCGUUAAUCGGAAUCACUGGGCGUAAAGCGUGUGUAGGCUGCGCGGAAAGUCAAAUGUGAAAGCCAAGGGCUCAACCCUUGAACUGCAUUCGAUACUCCCGUGCUAGAGUAAUGGAGAGGUAAGUGGAAUUCUCGGUGUAGCAGUGAAAUGCGUAGAUAUCGAGAGGAACAUCAAUGGCGAAGGCAACUUACUGGACAUUUACUGACGCUCAGACACGAAGGCUAGGGGAGCGAAAGGGAUUAGAUA